UGCUGCGGACCUCCGACGUGGGAGUCUCAUGCCAGAGCCCCGCUUCCAGACGGACUCCAACUAACGGACAGCAGCCAAGUUUUCAGUUACAAUAUACCAACUGUAACUUACAUUAUCUUUGGCCCGUCGCAGUACGGGGACCAGCGGGCAGGCUUCUUCCUCAGGCCCAGGCGCAGCAUUGUGAUGAAGUCCCAGGGUGAGGAACUGACUGAAUAAGAUGGAAAUGCGGCGCAACUCCACCUUCAUGCUUCAAGGCAACACUACAUACAGUCGGAGCCAGGGCUCAGUGCAUGCUACUUUUACCUGCCUGUCUACAGCCAUUUAAAGUUACAGUACCCAUAUUUAAAAAUUACUAAAGAGCAGCAGCAAGUGCCACGUGGAAGUUCCUGCAUUGGUUCAAGCAGGUGAACCAGAGUGCAGAAUGUGCUCCUCCAGGUUUAGGAAACCGGCUGUCAUUCUAACAACCAGUUCCCACGAACGGGGCAGAAUGGGCUGAAUCCCACUCCUGGCUGCUCCCUCUUUACAGUGCCGGCAGCUGAGCCUAAUGCAAGUGCCUCAGUGGCCUCAUGGAAGCUACGGCCCUGUUUGCAGCGUCCCUUUAAAAAAGAUAACCUGCCGCAACUUAUCAUGUGAAUGGCUCCCAGGUAAUAGACCAUAGAAAUGGAUGUGGCCUUAUUUUAGAGAGCUGGAUGAAGAUAUUCCCUUUCUGUGGGUGAUGAAUGUGCAAUAGUCUGUGAAAGAGAAUCACCAAAUGAGUAAAACCAUCAGCUUCUCUGCCUCUGGCGACGGCUGAGCAUUAACAUUACAUUACACAAUGAGUUAUAGCAGUUAACUUCACCUGCUGCCAAAUUAAAAAUGUAGUCCAAAUGUAUCUUGUCUGUCCUUGGUCUAUUUACAGUCCUCAUACUGUCCAAGAAGUAAGUUUUUAUGUAUUAUAAUGAUCUUCCACAUCCUGAAAUGCAACCGAGGGUAGAAGUUCAACAUCAUCUGAGCCGAUGCCAUAUGCAGUGUCAAUGGGAUUUCUGCUAUGUUUCUUCUGAUUUUAUCUUAUCACAUUUAUCGGAUCACUUACUAAGGCACAAAAGUUUUUUUUAGA